rnacentral:rRNA from 1 species
AUUGAACGCUGGCGGCAUGCCUUACACAUGCAAGUCGAACGGUAACAGGUCUUCGGAUGCUGACGAGUGGCGAACGGGUGAGUAAUACAUCGGAACGUGCCCGAUCGUGGGGGAUAACGGAGCGAAAGCUUUGCUAAUACCGCAUACGAUCUACGGAUGAAAGCAGGGGACCGCAAGGCCUUGCGCGGACGGAGCGGCCGAUGGCAGAUUAGGUAGUUGGUGGGAUAAAAGCUUACCAAGCCGACGAUCUGUAGCUGGUCUGAGAGGACGACCAGCCACACUGGGACUGAGACACGGCCCAGACUCCUACGGGAGGCAGCAGUGGGGAAUUUUGGACAAUGGGCGCAAGCCUGAUCCAGCCAUGCCGCGUGCAGGAUGAAGGCCUUCGGGUUGUAAACUGCUUUUGUACGGAACGAAAAGACUCUUUCUAAUAAAGAGGGUCCAUGACGGUACCGUAAGAAUAAGCACCGGCUAACUACGUGCCAGCAGCCGCCGUAA